rnacentral:tRNA from 1 species
GCGGGUGUGGCGCAACGGUAGCGCAACAGCUUCCCAAGCUGUGGGUUGCGGGUUCGAAUCCCGUCACCCGCU